rnacentral:rRNA from 1 species
UACGGGGGGAGCAAGCGUUGUUCGGAUUUACUGGGCGUAAAGGGCGCGUAGGCGGUCGUGACAAGUCACUUGUGAAAUCUCCGGGCUUAACUCGGAACGGUCAAGUGAUACUGUCGGACUAGAGUACAGAAGGGGCAACUGGAAUUCUCGGUGUAGCGGUGAAAUGCAUAGAUAUCAGGAGGAACACCAGCGGCGAAGGCGGCACUCUGGGCUGGAACUGACGCUGAGGAGCGAAAGCGUGGGGAGCGAACAGG